rnacentral:rRNA from 1 species
AGUCGAACGGUAACAGGUCUUCAGGAUGCUGACGAGUGGCGGACGGGUGAGUAACGCGUAGGAAUCUGUCUUUGAGUGGGGGACAACCCAGGGAAACUUGGGCUAAUACCGCAUAAGCCCUGAGGGGGAAAGCGGGGGAUCUUCGGACCUCGCGCUGGAAGAGGAGCCUACGUCUGAUUAGCUAGUUGGUAGGGUAAAGGCCUACCAAGGCGACGAUCGGUAGCUGGUCUGAGAGGACGACCAGCCACACUGGGACUGAGACACGGCCCAGACUCCUACGGGAGGCAGCAGUGGGGAAUUUUUCGCAAUGGGGGCAACCCUGACGAAGCAAUGCCGCGUGAAUGAAGAAGGCCUUCGGGUUGUAAAGUUCUUUCGUGGAGGACGAAAAGGUGGGUGCUAAUAUCGCCUGCUGUUGACGUGAAUCCAAGAAGAAGCACCGGCUAACUCCGUGCCAGCAGCCG